rnacentral:rRNA from 1 species
UACGGAGGGUGCAAGCGUUAUCCGGAAUCACUGGGUUUAAAGGGUGCGUAGGCUGUCAGAUAAGUCAGUUGUGAAAUUCCCCGGCUUAACCGGGUGGACUGCGAUUGAUACUGUUUGACUUGAAUGAGGUUGAGGUAGGCGGAAUGUGGCAUGUAGCGGUGAAAUGCUUAGAUAUGCCAUAGAACACCGAUUGCGAAGGCAGCUUGCUGGGCCUUCAUUGACGCUGAGGCACGAAAGCGUGGGGAGCAAA